GAAAGAAAUGAGAAAUAACUGAAGUAAUGAAAUUACCUCCUGUGUAGUGGCUUUUAAAUAGGCUCUGAAACCUUUCUCCAAAUGUAACUCAAAUAUUGAAUCACGGGGAACUGUUUCCCUCCCCAAAAGGCUAGCUUCUCCAACGUCCGUAAAGUUCAGUGCAUGGCCACUUAGUCCAACUUCCCUCUCACUGCAGACAUCUUUCUGAUGCAGUCAACCACCCUGCACCUCCGUGUGUGUCUCCAGCCUUGUGGUGUUCUUCAUAGGAAAUAAUCUGGAGUCCAUUCUCUCUAUCCUGCUUUGUCCUUCCUGAAGUAAGUUCCAGUUUGUCAAUAUCUUAUGCAGAAUGUGGCAUUCAGAAAUAAGGACAAUUCUUCUAGUGAAAUAACUGAUGCUUAUGUAAGUAUAACAAUGUGUUACUGGUGAAAUGAAUCAACAUAGUAAAUUCUGCUAUAAACAUACAAC
rnacentral:lncRNA from 1 species